UACGUAGGGUGCGAGCGUUAAUCGGAAUUACUGGGCGUAAAGGGUGCGUAGGCGGGUCUUUAAGUCUGGGGUGAAAUCCUGGAGCUCAACUCCAGAACUGCCUUUGAUACUGAAGAUCUUGAGUUCGGGAGAGGUGAGUGGAACUGCGAGUGUAGAGGUGAAAUUCGUAGAUAUUCGCAAGAACACCAGUGGCGAAGGCGGCUCACUGGCCCGAUACUGACGCUGAGGCACGAAAGCGUGGGGAGCAAACAGG
rnacentral:rRNA from 1 species